rnacentral:rRNA from 1 species
GAUGAACGCUAGCUACAGGCUUAACACAUGCAAGUCGAGGGACCGGCGCACGGGUGAGUAACACGUAUCCAACCUGCCCUUUCCCCGGGGGUAGCCUUUCGUAAGAAAUAUUAAUACCCGAUAUAAAGGAUGGGGAUGCGUUCCAUUAGUUUGUUGGUAAGGUAACGGCUCACAAAUCCUUCGAUGGAUGGGGGUUCUGAGAGGGAGGGCCCCCAAAUUGGAACUGAGGCAUAGUCCAGACUCGUACAAUAAGCAGCAGUGAUGAAUAAUGAACAAUGGGCGCUAACGUGAACCGGCCAAGUAGAGUGAAAAAUGAAGUAUUGUGGGUCGUAUACUUCUUUGAUAAAAGAAAAUGUUUUAUAUGAAUAAGGAUCGGCUAGCUCCGGGCCAGCUGCCGCGGUAAUAC